rnacentral:rRNA from 1 species
GACGAACGCUGGCGGCGUGCUUAACACAUGCAAGUCGAACGGAAAGGCCCUGCUUUUGUGGGGUGCUCGAGUGGCGAACGGGUGCGUAACACGUGAGUAACCUGCCCUUGACUUUGGGAUAACUUCAGGAAACUGGGGCUACUACCGGAUAGGAGCUCCUGCUGCAUGGUGGGGGUUGGAAAGUUUCGGCGGUUGGGGCUGGACUCGCGGCUUAUCAGCUUGUUGGUGGGGUAGUGGCUUACCAAGGCUUUGACGGGUAGCCGGCCUGAGAGGGUGACCGGCCACAUUGGGACUGAGAGACGGCGCAGACUCCUACGGGGGGCAGCAGUGGGGAAUAUGGCACAAUGGGCGGAAGCCUGAUGCAACAACGCCGCGGGCGGGAUGACGGCCUUCGGGGUGUAAACCGCUUUCGCCUGUGACGAAGCGUGAGUGACGGUAAUGGGUAAAGAAGCACCGGCUAACUACGUG